GUGCAGGCGGCGCGGUAAGUUGGGCGUGAAAGCUCCCGGCUCAACUGGGAGAGGUCGUUCAAAACUGCCGUGCUUGAGGUCGGAAGAGGGAAGCGGAAUUCCCGGUGUAGUGGUGGAAUGCGUAGAUAUCGGGAGGAACACCAGUGGCGAAGGCGGCUUCCUGGUCCGCACCUGACGCUCAGACGCGAAAGCGUGGGGAGCGAACGGGAUUAGAUACCCCGGUAGUCCACGCCGUAAACGAUGAAUACUAGGUGUUGGUGGUGUUAAAACCAUCAGUGCCGUAGCUAACGCGUUAAGUAUUCCGCCUGGGGACUACGGCCGCAAGGUUAAAACUCAAAGGAAUUGACGGGGGCCCGCACAAGCAGCGGAGCGUGUGGUUUAAUUCGAUGAUACGCGAAGAACCUUACCUGGGUUUGACAUGUACGUAGUAGGGAUCCGAAAGGUGACCGACCCUUCGGGGAGCGUACACAGGUGCUGCAUAGCUGUCGUCAGCUCGUGUCGUGAGAUGUUGGGUUAAGUCCCGCAACGAGCGCAACCCUCGCCGUUAGUUACAAGUGUCUAACGGGACUGCCGGAGUCAAACCGGAGGAAGGUGGGGAUGACGUCAAGUCAGCAUGGCCUUUAUAUCCAGGGCUACACACACGCUACAAUGGCCGGUACAAUGGGCAGCCACACCGCGAGGUGAAGCUAAUCUCUAAAGCCGGCCUCAGUUCAGAUUGCAGUCUGCAACUCGACUGCAUGAAGGCGG
rnacentral:rRNA from 1 species